GGAUCAGUACGCUGGUCGUGCCUUCGGUAUGCACUGGUUUCACUGAUUCCUCCCUUCUGAAGAACCGUAAUGCCAUUCAGUUGGUGUGGCGGGGAAUCAGGAUUGUUACUUUGAAAAAAUUAGAGUGUUUAAAGCAGGCUCGCGCUUGAAUACAUUAGCAUGGAAUAAUGAAAUAGGACGUUUGAUCCUAUUUUGUUGGUUUCUAGGAUUGACGUAAUGAUUAAUAGGGAUAGUUGGG
rnacentral:rRNA from 1 species